CUUAGUGGCAGACGGGUGAGUAAUAUAUAGGAAUCUACCUAGUAGUACGGAAUAAUUGUUGGAAACGGCAACUAAUACCGUAUACGCCCUACGGGGGAAAAAUUUAUUGCUAUUAGAUGAGCCUAUAUUAGAUUAGCUAGUUGGUGGAGUAAUAGCCUACCAAGGCAAUGAUCUAUAGCUGAUCUGAGAGGAUGAUCAGCCACACUGGAACUGAGAUACGGUCCAGACUCCUACGGGAGGCAGCAGUGGGGAAUAUUGGACAAUGGGCGAAAGCCUGAUCCAGCCAUGCCGCAUGAGUGAAGAAGGCCUUUGGGUUGUAAAGCUCUUUUAGUAGGGAAGAUAAUGACGGUACCUAUAAAA
rnacentral:rRNA from 1 species